rnacentral:rRNA from 1 species
ACGGAAGGCAGCAGUGGGGAAUAUUGGGCAAUGGGCGAAAGCCUGACCCAGCAACGCCGCGUGAAGGAAGAAGGCCUUCGGGUUGUAAACUUCUUUUACCAGGGACGAAGGACGUGACGGUACCUGGAGAAAAAGCAACGGCUAACUACGUGCCAGCAGCCGCGGUAAUACGUAGGUUGCAAGCGUUGUCCGGAUUUACUGGGUGUAAAGGGCGUGUAGCCGGGUCGGUAAGUCAGAUGUGAAAUCCACGGGCUUAACUCGUGAACUGCAUUUGAAACUGCUGAUCUUGAGUAUCGGAGAGGCAAUCGGAAUUCCUAGUGUAGCGGUGAAAUGCGUAGAUAUUAGGAGGAACACCAGUGGCGAAGGCGGAUUGCUGGACGACAACUGACGGUGAGGCGCGAAAGCGUGGGGAGCAAACAGGAUUAGAUACCCUGGUA